GUGACCUCAAAUCAGGUAGGACUACCCGCUGAACUUAAGCAUAUCAAUAAGCGGAGGAAAAGAAACUAACAAGGAUUCCCCUAGUAACUGCGAGUGAAGCGGGAAAAGCUCAAAUUUAAAAUCUGGCGGUCUUUGGCUGUCCGAGUUGUAAUCUAGAGAAGUGUUAUCCGCGCUGGACCGUGUACAAGUCUCCUGGAAUGGAGCAUCAUAGAGGGUGAGAAUCCCGUCUUUGACAUGGACUGCCAGGGCUUUGUGAUGCGCUCUCAAAGAGUCGAGUUGUUUGGGAAUGCAGCUCAAAAUGGGUGGUAAAUUCCAUCUAAAGCUAAAUAUUGGCGAGAGACCGAUAGCGAACAAGUACCGUGAGGGAAAGAUGAAAAGAACUUUGGAAAGAGAGUUAAACAGUACGUGAAAUUGCUGAAAGGGAAACGCUUGAAGUCAGUCGCGUCGUCCAGGGAUCAACCUUGCUUUUGCUUGGUGCACUUUCUGGUUCGAUGGGUCAGCAUCAAUUUUGACUGUUGGAAAAAGGUCAAGGGAAUGUGGCAUCUUUGGAUGUGUUUAUAGCCCUUGGUCACAUACA
rnacentral:rRNA from 1 species